rnacentral:rRNA from 1 species
GUUAAUCGGAAUUACUGGGCGUAAAGCGCACGCAGGCGGUCUGUUAAGCUAGAUGUGAAAGCCCCGCGCUCAACGUGGGAGGGUCAUUUAGAACUGGCAGACUAGAGUCUUGGAGAGGGGAGUGGAAUUCCAGGUGUAGCGGUGAAAUGCGUAGAGAUCUGGAGGAACAUCAAUGGCGAAGGCAACUCCCUGGCCAAAGACUGACGCUCAUGUGCGAAAGUGUGGGUAGCGAACAGGAUUAGAUACCCUGGUAGUCCACACCGUAAACGCUGUCUACUAGCUGUUUGUGGAUUUAAUCCGUGAGUAGCGAAGCUAACGCGAUAAGUAGACCGCCUGGGGAGUACGGCCGCAAGGUUAGAACUCAAAGGAAUUGACGGGGGCCCGCACAAGCGGUGGAGCAUGUGGUUUAAUUCGAUGAUACGCGAGGAACCUUACCAGGGCUUAAAUGUAAGUUGCAUAGACCAGAGAUGGUCUUUCUUCGGACUACUUACAAGGUGCUGCAUGGUU